rnacentral:rRNA from 1 species
CAGCAGCCGCCGCGGUAAAACGGAGGGUGCAAGCGUUAAUCGGAAUUACUGGGCGUAAAGCGCACGCAGGCGGUUUGUUAAGUCAGAUGUGAAAUCCCCGAGCUUAACUUGGGAACUGCAUUUGAAACUGGCAAGCUAGAGUCUUGUAGAGGGGGGUAGAAUUCCAGGUGUAGCGGUGAAAUGCGUAGAGAUCUGGAGGAAUACCGGUGGCGAAGGCGGCCCCCUGGACAAAGACUGACGCUCAGGUGCGAAAGCGUGGGGAGCAAACAGGAUUAGAUACCCCAGUAGUACCUGUCUCUUAUAC